AGAAACGGAGCAACAAGCUUACUAUGAUUCAAUUGCAUCCACGGCGUCUUUUAGUUCCCGUCCCUUGGUUUCAAAUGGGAAGAGCAGAGAAGAGGCUAUAGCCAGAACAAAUACAACCUCGAACAGAAUAACCGCAAGUCUUAGGUGACAACUGGUUACAAGUCCAACGGCAACAAGAGGGCAUACCAUGCCUCCUACUCUUCCCACAGCACUUGCAACACCAGCCCCAGUUGUCCUCGCGGACGUAGGAUAUAUCUGAUAUGAAAAACAUAUUUGUGAAACUUGAAAGAGUAAACGGUCAUAAAAAUGAAGCCUAUAACAUAUCAAGAACUCAAAGCGCUAUUAAUUAGUAUAAUUUUCUUUCAACAGGUAUGAGAAGUUCCAUCAGAUUACCUCAGGGGCAUAAAUUGUGGCAACUGUUAUGGUUCCUGUGGCACACAUGCGAACUCCGAACAGUAACACCGUAGUUACUACAGCAGACUGAUGGAAGACCAGUGGCAGAAGGAAAAUGCAAGCUAAGACAAACAUAAGAACCAUGGAAAGCUUGCGGCCAAUUUUGUCCACUAUUAUUGCUGACAAGAUAAGCCCAGGAAGCUCUGUAAUAUAAAAUCAACACAAAUGUUACUAAGCCAUGACUCUAUAUGAAAGAAAAUAAAAGGUGUUAAAAGAGCAGAAUAUAAUUCAAAAUAUAGAGUACAUGACACGGUCAAAGGAAGUCAUACAAUACCUGCAAAACUAGUGAUAAACACAUCGACAUACAGGCUAUUAUCUUUCGACUUGUCAGCAUGCAAGACUUUUGAGCCGCAUUUACUGUCUCCACUGCUUAGCUUAGAGGUCAACAAGACAGCGCCAUAAUAUGAGAAAGCAUUUGCAAAGAAUAACACCCAUAGGAGAAGAGUUGUCCGAAUUAAUUUUCUUGAGAAAAGCGUAAAAAAUGAUGAGAAGCCAGACUUUAACUUGUCGGUGAUCUUUCUUGUCAUUGAGAUCAUAUGUGUAUCUCGCAAUAAACUUGAUUCUUCGUUCUCUUUAAUUGCUUUAUCAGAAACAAGAAUGCCGGGUGGGAGUUUUGUUCGGUUGACAAAAGCCAUCUUCUCGAGAAUUCUGUGUGCAUCAGCUGUUCUAGCUUUCGCACACAAAUACCUGGGUGACUCAGGUGCUAGACCAUAAAAGAGAAGCAGAGCAAAUGAUGGUACAGAGGAAAAUGCAAGUAGCCACCUCCAAUUCAGUCUUGUCAUGACAACCUGCAAAUGAAAGAAUUUUUAAAUUUUAUGGAGCCUCAGAGCCUCCUGUCACCAGCAUACCAGUUAUCGCUUAAGAAGAAUAAAAAUAGAAAAGCAUGAUUAGUUAUUUGGUUCAGACAUCAGUUGAAGAUAAACGUCCAUUUUUUCCGAAUAUCAUAAACUUCUAAAGGUACAAUAUCUUUUCUGGAAUGAUGCCAAAAGAUUUUGGGUAAGGAAGAACCAGCAAAACCAGCUGGGAGAGCUUACCAAUGCACAAUACUUGUAAUAUUUCAAGUGAUAUCGAACACAUUUUGAAGUUUUAGAUACUAAUUAGUUUAGGAAUUAUUUUCAUUUUGGAAACUUAGUGUUCCUCGGCCAACAGGAGUAGAUUCCCUUCAGAUUAGGUUUGGACUACCAUACAUAGAGGAUUAGUUUUUAGUGAUUAUUAAUUCACUGAAAUCUUGUUUUGUCUCUUAAUUCUCUUUGUUCUUCUUCUUCCCUUUGUAAUUUUUUCUCCCACUCUCUCUUUUCUUUAUUUCCUUUCCCACAUCAUUACCAUCCCACAAGGUAAAAAGGGGAAUGUUUCUAGAAAGUAAAAGAAAUAUAAUCUAAGAGUUAUUUGGAUAAUGACGGUAGAAGUUAGGAAAUUAUACAUACCCAGGCAAGUGAAGCCUCAAAAAUUGUUCCAGCUGUCCAAAAAGCUGAGAAGGCUACCAUCCACGUGCCUCUAUGUGAAACAGGAACGAACUCCAGAAAAUAGGAUAAGAAUACAGGUCCUCCCCCCAAACCAAUACCAACGAAACAACGAAAUAUCAACAAUGAUACAUAAUUUGGGGAGAAAGUACUUAAUAGUCCAGCCACACUAGUUACCAUAGCUAUGCUGAGAAAACUCUUUCUGGAGAGAGCAGAUACUAGUCAGCAUUUAAUAAAACUAGAAAAAAGUACUUAUAAAACAUCAAGUUUCAACCAAAGACUUUAUAUAUAUGAAUAAAUUCUUAAGUAGAAUGGCCUAACAUUUGAUGGUUAAGUGCAUCUUUAUGAUUUACUUAAGGAUAUCAGGGAAAAAAGGUGAACUGAUGUACUGAAAUAAACUGAACCUUAAAAGCCUGGUGGAAAACGAAGUUGAACAGACUCAUAUUUGAGCUGUACCAAGCAAAAAGCUUCUUGCAGCACAUAUAACAGUCAAGAAACAUCGCGCUUUAUAAUCCAUGAUGCGUAUGACUUGAAAAUACAAUAACAUUUCUGCCUAUGGCAAUUCACAAGUAGUAUGCAAUGAGUGGAACAGCAAGAAAAGAAUGUGGUGACAGAAAUAUUCCUUACAGAUUCUAGUAAUACUUGUAGUAACAUUUUAGGAAGACCACUGAACAGGUUGAAAAAACUGGAAAUUGAUAAAUUAAAGGGAAAUGAAUGGCUUAGAAAGGGUGCUAAACUUUUUUAGAAUUUCAAAUCUCAGUCUGCUAAUUUAGAAAAUUUGUAACACUGCAUAAACACUUUAUUCUUUCUGCAUGGAUAUUUGUGACCCCCUAAUUGCUUCUGUGUGCCUACAUGUUGAAGUUUGAGUGGGCGAGUUAAAAAUUGAAUCUGUUAAGGUAAAACAGGCAUCAAGAGCUCAGAUGAGUUGCAAAAACAGUUUAGGUUACAAUAAAAAGGGACAAAGCUAUUAAACAUAUUUGAAAUUUAAUAUGUACAUUUCUAAGUUGAAAUAGUGAGAAACAUCCAGAAGGCAAAUCCAAAUUGUGGAGAAAGCACAUGAUGAAACUCCCAAGUAAUCUCCAGAAGUAUAAGAAUCAAAAUGAAAUCUUUUAUAUACAAAUCCUCCUGUGAGCCGAUGAAGAUAUAGGCUAAAAGAAUGAUAAUAUGCUAUCUGCAAGGUAAGAAGCUAUUCUAGCAACGUAGCAAAUAUACGUUCGAUGUCUGAAUUAACAAGCAAUAACCUACCUCCUCCCAUAAUUAUCAGAAAUAAUGCCCCAAGAAUAAGCUCCAAGCAGCAUCCCAGCGAAAACAACAGUGGUUAGCAGGCUCUCUUCGCUUGAGGUUAGUUUCCACUUUGAUUUGACUGCUGGUCCAACAAAAGAGAGAAUCAUAAUCUCCAUUGCCUCUGAAACCCAACCAAGUCCAGCAUAUGCCAGCACUAGAGCUUGGUACUUCCCAAACCUCAGAGCAGAAAGUGCUUCAUCCAGCAUGUACACAGGACGUUCAUCUCCCAUCUAAAGACCCAAAUUGAAAGAUAUUGUUGUCCAUAAACAUAUCCAUCAAAAUUAUUAGUCCACUGCAGACUAUAUUUGCAUAAAUAAUGACUACUCUUACCAACAGAGAGACAACAGCAAUGGCACAAAUAAUUGUAACAAAUAACAAGAGAGAAAUUCAUAUCCUUAUGCAUAGUUGGACCAUUGAAUUUAUAUGUUUCAGUCAAAGAAACUUGUUUUCGGCUCAAUUGGAUGAAAGUUUACACAGUAAACUAAUCAAAUGUUGAAAUGUGUUCUAAGUGACAUAACCUUGAAGUCAAUGUUUUUUUUUUUUAAAAUACAUAUAACAUCCUUAUGUGUUUCAGCAACUUCACAUAUUUAAAUUCUAUAAUUCUUUGUUUGAAAAUAAAAAAUAAAAAGUCAAAAAAAUCCACUUGAGGGUGUAUGUUAGGUUCCAGGAGACAGACAGUGAGACAGAGAAAAAAAUAAAUUGUCAAUAUGAAGUCAAAAUUCAUUCAGUACACCAGAAGAAAGCAGCUUUUCUUUUUGCUUGCUGCAACAACAACUCCAGGGAAAGCACUUUUGGGAAGUUUGAUAAAACAUUUGCACAAAUAUGUCCCAUACCAAAGUAAAUUCAGGCAAGUUUCUGGAUAUUCAAAAGCAUGUAUGCGCAGCUUAAAUUAAAUAGUUCUGAAGUAGCUUCACAAGAAUUGCUUAUCAACUAACAACAAAAUGCAGUAAUUGUGGGAACACAAAUGCAUCACCUUUCUUUAGAAAACACGUGCAAGCCAAAUGAUCAAAAGCUCUAUAUGAUCACAAAAAGAACAAUGAAAAUACGAAAAACAAGAAAUUACCUUUACUGGUUUCACCUGAAAGAGUGAGUACUGACUACAGAGCACAGAGCGGUCAAGUAACUAUCACAAACAAAUACUAGUAGGACGCUAGACCGACUUGUCGUACAGAGGUGGAUAUGGAAAUGGGAAUCCUGGUAAUCAUUGUCAGAAGGUCGUCAACGAAUAAUUGAAUGUUCUUUAGGUGUUGGUGCAAGUGGGCGAGAUCGUGAAUCGAUCAAACCAGAAAGUGACGUGUGGAAGGGUUUGGGUCAUUUGUGGUCCGAUCAAUACGAUUAAAAAGAAAAUUAUGAUUGUGUUGAAAGAGAAGGAGGUGGGAACCACGGGGGCUGUCGUUUUGUUGGUGAUCGAUAACGUCAAGAACAAGAAAGAUUACCGAAUGCCACCACUGCGGCGAGCGCUAGUUGACAAGUGUGUAGAAAAUGACACCAACUUCGCCGGAGUUCGUCACCAGUUCGCAUGAGAUGACAUAGGUAAUCGGUAAUGUGGUAAUUAGUAAUGAUAUUUCACUCAAAAUUUUUGACGGAAUAGUUAUCAAAUAACUCUAGUAUCUUGCGCUUUUUUAGUGGGAUCGUUAUAUUAAAAAAAUUACGACCCCUUUGGCAGUUCAAAUCUCAGUAUUAGUACACCGGUGGAUUUGAUUUUUUUUUGUAUAAUAGGGGUUUAUUUGUCUCUUUCUAUUAGGGUAAAAUCGAUGUCUUUCUAAUAUUUACAGUGAAAAUAGAUAUUCUUUUAAUUUUAAGUAAAUGCUCGAAUGUCGUAUAAUAGGCUCCAAUAUUGACAGUGAGGAUAUAUCUCCCUCCAAUUUUAAGUGAAGAUUGACUUUCAGAUUGUCCUAUAAUAGGAUUAUUCAUGAGAGUCCUCGAUUGAUCUCUAAUUAUAAAUAUCAGUAGAGAUUUGAUUGUAUUAUAUUAGUAUAUCAAAAAAAAAAUUAAGACUGCAUAAUUUUUCUGUUAUUUUUGUUGCAUGUGCAUAUACAUGUGGUUUUUUUUUUCACUCUUUUGCCUCUUUAAUCCAUAGUAAUUUAUUAGUUCUCUCUUAUUUUUAUUUUUGUAGGUUAUAUUUAUGUGACUUGAGUUGAGAGACAUGACUCUCAUGUAUAUGAUUUGUUUCCCUAAAUUUAAAACAAUUUCUUCUAUUUGUAUUUUCUUUCAUUAUACUUGAAACUACUUUUAAACCAUAAUUUCCAAAUCAAUUAUUCUCAUUCAUAAGUUUAUUGAUAGAAAGAACUUUUUUUUUUUAAAUGUUGCAAUAAAAAUAAAUAAGACUAAUUUCAAGAGUGAGAAAAUGGCUUAAAAAUCAUAAAUGAAUUAAAUAAUCAUAAAUUAGGUGUUGAUUAAAAGGGUAUUUUUGGAAUCAUGUUGGAUUUUACUGAAAAUGGGGGUCUUCGGAGGAUAUUUGAGGGGCAUAAAUAGAUUCACUCUACAAUAUAAUCUACAAUAAAUGCAUCAUCGUAAGGUCUCCGAUUCAAAAGAAUGUUAACCCCUGUCUCGGCCAUAUCCGUUUCUGUUUGGACUGAAUUGUCACAAAUCCAAAAACAAAGACAAUAAUAAUAAUAAUAAUGUUGACGGAGAGAAGGUUCCGGAAGAUCCAUCAAUUACCCUGCUAGCUAGGUUCCUACUUUUUAGCACAAUCACGAAUAAGAACUUAAUCCACAUUUUCCAUGAAAGUCCAUGACUCCAUGGUCCAUGCCAUCAAAAUUUGCAAAGAUUUCGUUAGUAAAGUCAUUGAAAUAACCGUCAUAAAAUCGUAAAAGAAUAAAACAAAUUGGGUUAUUAAUAAAUACUUUCUCCUGAUACUAUAAAAUUGAAAAAUUAUUUUUUAAAAAAAAUAACUUGACGUGUAAAUUUUUAUUUUUUAUUUAAAAAAGUAGAGGAACGGACUUUAUCCAUAUUAAUUUUUUAUUUCUUAUCUCUCUGAAAAUUCAUAUUGGGGUGAUCAAUUAGAUAAAAUUAUUUAAAAAUUACUCGACAUCUUAAAGGGGUGUAAUUAUGUUAUCGAUUAAGUGAUUAAAUUUUACUACAUUUCGCCAAUAAAUAACUUGGUGACUCAGGAGAUGGAUAAUAAAAGAGAAGCAGAGCGAAUGAUGGUACAGCAGAAAGUGCAAGUAACCACCUCCAAUUCAGUAUUAUCAUGACAUUGUGCAAGUGAAGGCAUGUUGACAUUUUAUGAAGCCUCAAGGCCUUCUUCAGUCACCAGCAUAAUACUGGGUAAAAUUGUGUAUUAAUUUAUCAAGAAAGAAAUAUGUUAUCAGAAAGCAGACUCUUAAGCUUCAUGAUGUAAGUGACUUUUGAGUUUGAAGUCAGGACAGAAAGCGUACCCAGGCAAGUGAAGCCUUAAAGAUUGUUCUAGCACUCCAGUAAGCUGAGCACACUACCAUCCACGCACCUCAACAAGAAACAGGAACGAACUCUAGAAAAAUAGAAUAAAAAUACGUGUACUCUGCCCAAACAACGACAUAUCACCAUACACCACCAUUGAUGCAUAAUUUGGUGAGAAAGCACUCAGCAAUCCAGCCACACAAGUUACCACUGCUAAGCCGAGCAUACUCUUUCUGGAAAGAGCAGACCAGACAACAUGAUGACUUGUAAAAAUGAAGUCUAGUUUCAACCAAAGACAUAAUAUUUAUGAAUCGUUUCUUUGGCAUAAUGGCUUGACAUUAUAUAGAUAAGACCAGCUUCACGAUUUACUUAAAUAUAACAUCAGAAAGAAAAAGGCGGAUUGACGUAAAGAAAAAAAGAAAUGACUAAUAUCUUGUACCACCAAGGGCUUCUAUUUCUUUAGAAAGCCACUUGUAGAGUACAGUACAUAUAGCAAUAAUCUAGAAACUGAAAAAUGAUUUUCACUUUAUUAAAUUCGUGAAGCCUAUGAUUAGAGUUCGAAUGUGCUAAUAUUCAAAGCUUAAAAUCAUCCAUAAAUUCUUUAUUCUGCAUGGACAGUUCGGACAGCAUAAUUGCUUCUGCGUGCCUACAAUGUGGGAGAAGCAAAAGUAAAUUAACAAAGCAAAACGGAAGGACGAAAUAGGCUACUUCCUCCCCGAAAUUAACAGAAACAAACAGCAUCCCAAUAAAAAAAACAACAGUCGCCUGACGUGAGUCCCCAUUUUGAUCCUACAAAAGAGAGAAUUAUCAUCUCCAUCGCUUCCGAAAACCAACCGAGUCCAGCAUACGAGAGAGCACAACAGCUAUGUAGUUCGCCAAAUCUCAGAGCAGAAAGUGCUUCAUCCAACGUGUACACAAGGCUUUCAUCUCCCAUCUACUGAACCCAAUUAAAAACGAUGAGGCUACUUCUCACCUCCAACAAUAACACCGCCAAUGGCACAAAUAAUUUGUAACAACUAACAAAUUACAAAUCAAUGGAAAGAAAUUUGUAUCCUUGUAUGUUUCGGUCAAAGAAACCUUUUUCUUUUAACUGAUCAGUUGGACUAAAAGUCCAGACAACAAUAUUAUUGACAAAUUAACCAAAUGUGUUCUAAGAGAUAUAUAUUAACUUGAUAUUGGGUUCACCCGAAAUAAAGGUUUAAACUCGGAGUAUGAUAAUAAAUCCUAAGACGCCAAGUUAAACCGACUUGUCGUGCGGAUAAUACCUUUUGCCGUUCCUUCCUGAUUAAAAAGAUAUCUCACGGGUUAAUAAUGAUUUUGGUGCCUGGAGUUCGGAAAAUUCCACUGCGCGGGUACCAGCCCUGCAGCGUAAAAUUCUGAAUAUUUUAGUUCGGAAUUAUGGGAACGUGGGCCAGGGGGAUCACGUGUAUUCUCUAGAUGGCAAGAUUGAACAUUAACUAAUUAAAUAUAAAGCGUCGGAUUUGACGAUACUUUGUCCACUCAACAUUUUAGUUGCUGUGGGCAACUAAAGACGAGAUAUUUUUAUUAUUAAUUUUUGCAUUUUUCUACCUUCACCAACCGUACAGUUUCUUUUUUCACAUAGCACUUGGUAUCGUAUAUUUCAACAGCAACAUACGAAGCCUAAAAGCCUUAUUGAAAUUCGGCUGCGAGCCCAAAAUUUGAAAGUGAUGAAAGGAGAUGAUGAUGACUGAUGAGAGAGAUCCAAACAUGAAAAUUAAUUAAUGCACUUGAAACUUAAUUUAUAUAACAUUUGCAUCCAAUUCAUAAGCGUUCAAUGAAAAGUAAGAAAGUUUGCUGAAGUAUUGUGCACUGACGUACUUUUUCCACUGGCAAGAGAGUAUAAGAAACAGAGCAACAAGCUUACUAUGAUUCAAUUGCAUCCACAGUAUCUUUUAGUUCCCGUCCCAUGGUUUCAAAUGGGAAGAGCAGAGAAGAGGCUAUAGCCAGAACAAAUACAACCUCAAACAGAAUAACCGCAAGUCUUAGGUGACAACUGGUUACAAGUCCAACGGCAACAAGAGGGCAUACCAUGCCUCCAACUUUUCCCAAAGAACUUGCAACACCAAACCCAGUUGUCCUCGCGGGCGUAGGAUAUAUCUGAGAUGAAAAACAUAUUUG
rnacentral:lncRNA from 1 species